rnacentral:misc_RNA from 1 species
GUUGUUUGUGUGAAGCGAAUUCUAUCUGUGUCGAAAGGUGUUGGGUAAAUGGCGUCUCGUGAGUGAUUGUAAAGGGGUAUUUUUGAAAUUUUAGUCUCCCGAGUAAGUGGUGGUAAAUUUAAAGAGUAAAUCCACCGAAUUUAUAAUACACCAGGGAAAACAAUCGGCAAUAUGUCUCGCUACAGAGAUUGGGAUUUGUCAUGCAAAGUGUUUGUGGGAAAUCUGGGAAGUAGCGCUUCCAAAUAUGAAAUUGAAUCCGCUUUCAGUAAGUAUGGGCGUCUUAGAGAUGUUUGGCUAGCAAGAAACCCACCUGGGUUUGCCUUUGUGCAGUUUGAAGACCCGAGAGACGCUGAAGAUGCUGUUCGGGGUCUCGACGGUAUUAGAAUGUGUGGCUCCCGCGUAAGGGUGGAGAUGUCAACAGGGAGAAGCCGAAGAAGUGCCGGUGGUGAUCGUCGUGGUCGUUCAAGAUCACGAACACCACGACGUCGUUCGUACAGCCGAUCCAGAUCCCGAAGUGCAUCACCGAGACGCUCUCGUGGAGAUUCACGAGACAGAAGAUAAACUAACAAAAAAAAAAAAAAAAUCAGCGUUCAGCAUGGCGAAAUGUCUAGCCGAUUCAGGUUGAUCAAACUGCCAGGAUGAAGAGGCUUCGACAUACAUCUCCAACAGAAAAAGUGGACAACCCAUAGUAGUUGCUUUUACCAGGAGGCAUGUGUCGUUCACUGAAAGCAAAAAUCUUAUACAACAUUGUCAAACUUCAAUUUCUCAGAGCUUUGAAUACUAGGAAACUAACAGGCUGCACCAUGUGGCUCCUGUGGUGGCCCAUUCAACAAUAUUCCUCACAGUUUUGUAUGCAUCAUCGCAUCUCAGUUCAGAAUGUACACUUCCUCAGUUUACUCCAUAUAUGCUUUCUGGCAUCUCAUGAAGUAUGACUGUUACUGUAAAUGCAUGCUAAUACACAUUCCACAGCACUUGUUUUUUUGCCCAACAUAGUUGCCCCCACUCCUGUGUUCAAGUACUCAGGAGAUGAAGAUUUGCAAUGUUCUAAAUGUAAUUUGGUUUUCAGGUGUUAAAAGUUUGAUAUAUGCAUAUAUAUUGAUUUAUGCUCACCGACAUUAAAAUAAUUAAUGCAUAGUUAUGAAGCACAAACUUCUUUCUUCUUGGGGAAUGGUUUACUUUGAUUUUUGUGUUCACAAAGAAGUGCCAUUGUCUGUCUAAUAAUGAAAGUAUAAAGAAGUUGGUACAUUGUAAUACCAGCAACCCAGUAAAUGUUAAUUAAACUGAGUGUCUAAGGAUAAUUGUUCAUGGUUAUUGUUUCAGUGAAGUUCUUUUCAUGAAUAUGUAUGCCAAUUUUGUAUCCCACUAGCUGUGUAAUAAGUAGGUAGUACUGUUGCUGUUACUAAGUAAUAGUAUACAAAAUCAAUACAGUGUCUCUAGGUUAUAUAAAAGUGUUUAUUAAUAAUAUACUGGGCUAUUCACUGCAAAACUUAAUUGCAUCUCUACCAUCAGGGAUUAAUUUUCAGGGAUGGACAUGAAAUUACUAUAUUUACUGUCUGCUGAAGCCGUGUUUGUUCUGUUGCUUUUAAAGUGUGACUUUGUUCUUCAUGGAACAGAAUUGUUAUAAUUUCUGAUUUCUGUGCUCAUAUCUGGGAUGCAGAAUGUCUCUUCCACCUGGCACCCUGUUUGAUCCAUUUAUAAUUUCUCUUAAUUGUGAAAAGUCUUUAUACUAAGUAUCUGUAACUUGUUUGAAAUCCAUGUCAAAGUUUCGAAAAUAAAGAUUGAACGAAAAGAUUUAUUGGAUCUUCUUAAA